CUCAGGAUAAACAGAGGUUAGUCCCCCAGGGAAAGGGCUGGACAGCAGCACUUGUUGCCCCGUAGUUUGUUUAAAUCCACCCCCCUCCACCCGGGCAGCUGGGGUGACUGUCUGGGAAGCAUAACUGGCGUGACGUGACACAAAGGGAAAACAAGCUUCUCGUAUGUUUAGGACUGGAGGUAGUUCUGCAACUUGGGGCCAGGAGCCCACUGAUGUUAGGCUCCCACUGUCCAGUAGACUCUAAAAAGUAACUAGGAAAAAGAGAGAGGGGGUAGGAGGAGAGAGGGGCAAGGAACUGCACUCCAGCAUCUCUCUGCUUAGCGAUGCUUCGAAGCUGCAUUAGCCACGAAGUGACGACUGUCGUGAAAAUUGCAGGCCGCAGGCUCAUUUGCAGGCUUCAGCUGAGUCUCUGUCAUCUACUGCGACUCUGCAUGGAGAAGGAGGAACUGGGAGAGGCACGAUGUCCAGUGGAGAAGGGAACUUCAACCCACUUAAGAGAUUCACUAGCAUCCUGAGCAGCAGCCGGGAAGAGCCCUCAACCCCAGGCCCAGCCUCUCUCCUCAUCCCACAGGCCUUCCAGCCCCUCAGAAGGGCACUGUUGUGUUCCUAGGUGGGACCCCAGGAUCCUGGCCCUCUCUCUCAAUCCUGGUAGUUGCUAAACCUGGUUUCUCAGCUCAAGCCUUGGCAGGCCUGGGAAAGGUGAGAGUGAGUCAGUCACUGGAGCUGUGUAACACAGGACGGAAGGCUUGAGUCAUCACCGUUCGGGGAAGCCCCAGCGGGGUGGUAUCAGUCUGACACCCCAUGGCUUCUUGCACUCUGACAAUGACAGCUGCCUUCUGUGAAGCACCCAUAAAGGAUCACCUUACAAACGUCAUCUCAUUUUAUCCUCCACGCGAUAGCAUGAGGUAAUGGUCUUAUCCUGACUUAGAAGUUGAAGCAACUGAAACUCAGAUGUCCAAUGCCUCAUUCAGUGCCCGAACACCAGAAAAUGGUACUGCCUUAUGCUGGUGUCUCUCUGUGAGUGAGACGUGGAAGGGCUGCUCUCCCAGACAUCACACUAGACUAUUAAGCUGAUAAUUAUUAUUUAUUAAUUGAUAAUUCCAAAAGCAGACAAACUCUGCCCCUCCUUAGAUGCUCUGAAAACAUGGUAUCAUAGUACUUGUGGUAAAGAUGAGUGAAUCAAGUAGGUGGGAAAUGGAAAUGAGUCACCCAUGGAGAGAUACCCCCUCACAAAACCUCUGUGAGGUAGUUCCUCAUCCCCAUUUUGCAGAUAAAAAGACAGAAGCUCAGAAAGGCUAAGGAACUUACCUGGGGACACACAGCCAGGAAGUGGUAGAGUUGGAACCCUAACCCAACGCCUCAUGUGCAUAACCGUCCCACUGGAAGGCUGCAUGGAGGGGCACCUGAGGGGUGCAGUCGGUUAAGCAUCCCAGUCUUGGUUUCUGCUCAGGUCAAUGAUCUCAGGGUCUGGGGAUCAGUGGGGAAUCUGCUUAUGCUUCUCUCUCCCUCUCCCUC
rnacentral:lncRNA from 12 species